CAACUGAGCCAUUUGAAUGAAGCUGAGCGCGUUGUUUGUUUAGACACAAAAAGUACGACUCAUUCAAAUAGCUCAGUCGAAUGACUUUCGAAAAUUUAGUUUUAAUUCUGCAAAUCAGUUGACUGAACCGAAUCAAAUCAUUUGGCUGGAACUGGUUCAGUCAAAAUGUAAAAAUGUCGAUAUUGCCCUUGAUAAAACUCAAAUAUUACAAACCUAAUUUUAUUAUUUUUUCAGUCUCAUCGUUCUCUCUCUCUCUCUGCCGACAGACCUCUCAAAUCUCAUCUUCUCUCUCGCCACCAUGAAAGGAGCUUGAAGCUCUCACCUCACCGUCGCUCUCUCGCCAUCUCUCUCGUCGAGUCGUCGUCUCUCUCGCCAUCUCUCGCCGUCUCUCUCGCCAUCUCUCUCGCCGUCUCUCUCGCCACCAUGAAAGGAGCUUGAAGCUCGCCGUCUCUCUCGUCAUCUCUCUGCCAUCUCUCUCUCGCUGUCUCUCUCUCUCUCGCCAUCUCUCUCUCGCCGUCUCUCUCUCUCGCCAUCUCUCUCUCGCCGUCUCUCUCGCCGUGUCUCUCUCGCCGUCAUCUCUCUCACCGGUUUGAUCUUCUGUGGGUUUUGAUUGGAUCAUCUCUUGGAAUUGGAUGAGGAAUGACGUGAACAUUUUGCUCUCAUUUUUUUUUUAUCAAACUCAAGCUUGUUAUUUUUAAAACCUUGUUACCAAUGCUUUUGAAACUUAUUGUUGUUGCUUUUGAAACUUUAUAUCACAUUAUGUUAUGUGGGUUUUCAUUUUCUAGAUUUAAAUAUCUUGAAACUUUA